CACUGAGUUCUCAACAAACCCUGGCUGGAGCUGAAGCAAAGGAGGUGCUGUCUGCUUGCCAAGAGGGACAACGGUCCCAGAGAGAUGGAGGGAAAAGGAAGGUUAUUGGAUGAGAAGUGAGUGCCUGAGCUCCAGACAGCCAAUCCAUAGGCUGGCCUGCCAACUGCAACGUGGUCCGGACUAAAGGUGGCUGGUGAAGGUGACGCUUCCUGGAACUGGAACUGGAAAAUAUGGAAAGCCCAAGCCAGGUAGCAGCAGGACCGGAGGGUGAAAAGGUGCUGUAGGUUGACGCCCAGGGCAAGCAGAAAUGGUGAGGAAGCAUGUGCUGUAAGUAAACAGAAAUAAAGCAAUCAGCAGAGAGGAGAAAGGAACAGACACACAGAGGGGAAAGAGGUGCCAUAAGGGGGCCUCGCAGCUCACAGAGACACAGAGAAAGAGCUCUUACUUAUGGGGACUGCUUUGGUUCCUGGCAGCCCUUCAGAUGCAUGGUGAGGCCAUGUGUACCCUGAAAAAAAGAAGCCAUUCCCUGAGGCACUGGGGGAGUUUUUUUCUUGGGACCACAAAACUUGAGCAGAACAAGGACAGACAUUCCUUGUUCUGUGGGUGGAGCCUGAAGUCACCAUGGAAGGCUCUUUGUGAAGAUGUUAUGAGUAAUUCCUUCCAUGCCCCUUAGCAAUGUCACUUUACUGCUCUUCCCAUCAAGAGGUGAAUUCUCUCUCCUCCCCUUGAAUCAAGCUUGGCAAUAUGACUUCUUUUGGCCAAUGGGCUAUUAGCAAAUGUGAUGCAUGCAGAGGCUUGAAGCACACCCGUGUGUGAGGUUUGCCCUCUCUUUGGCUGUGACCGUAAUGGGAAUGAGCCUGAGCUGCCUGCUGAAGAGGCCACAUGGAGAGCCGAGGCGUUCAGCCUUAAGCUUGCUGGCUGCUGGACACAAAAGUGAGGACAUCUGAGACCGUCCAGCCCUACUCAAACCACCUGAUGACUACAUCUGCAUGAGCGAGCCCAGGCGAACCCAGAGGCAGAACUGCCAGCUGAGCCCAGGCAAAUUGCUGCCCCACAAAAUCGUGAGCCAAGAAAAUGGUGGUUAUCUUAAGCCAUGAAAUUUUGCAGUGGUUUGUCACAGAGUGGCAGACACCUGAUAUAGUCCCCAUGCAGCCAGCCCCAAGUAUAGAGUCAGGCCCUGAAGGCGGGCUCCCACUGCCUCUCAGGAGUUUGUGGCAGAAGCUGUGGUCUCCCAUGAGCCAUCCUCCCCUUUUUCUGUUUAGUAACAACACAAGUCCACCCAAUUAGAGACUCAUUUUCCAGCCUUCCCUGAAGCUAAGUGUGAUGAUGUUUUCACCAAGGGAUGGAAUGAAAGGGAUGUGUGUCACUUCUGUGUUACUUCUCUAAAAAGAACGUGCUGGUCCUACACAUCCUCCUUUUCCCGCUUCCUGCAGGGUGGAACCCAGAGCUGGGGCCAGCAAGGGGGGCCACCGGCCUCUAGGGCAGGGCUGCUCCAGCGGUGGGCCUCGGAUUGGCUGCUUGAUACAGUCGGUGAUGAGGAGAGUAGAAAGAUCAAGAUCGUAACAAACUUUUGUAACAAAUUGACAAACUAAUAUUAGGUUUGUUGAAUUUAACAGUAAAAAAUUGAGGCUUUAAAUAUGUGUUUAGGUUUUUAUUGUAUUUUACAGAAGUAUUGGUUUACAGUGGAUUGGGCAAAAAAACCCUGGCCCUUCUCCACAGAUGGUCUGAGAAGCACUGCUCCAGGGGAUGGCAAAUUUACAAGCUACCCUGGAACUUAGAAGUGGGUUGAACCUUGUCAGGACUCUCUCCCUCAGCCUGGUAUUUUCAUUUCUUUCUGAAUGUCACCUUUUGCCACCAGGUGGGUCACCUGGUAGCAUGGAGCUCUGCAAUCUAUCUUUUCAAAUUCACAACCAAAAAGGAAAGAGGCCAUUUCUCCUUAGCUCUCGUUAGAAAACUUUUGGGGAAGGACUCUGACCAGCCUGGUUUGGGGCACCCACUCACAACCCAUCUCUGGGACAGGGAGGGAAGACCGUGUAAGACGGUGGCUCCCUUUGGAUCACACAGCUGAGUGUAGGGAGCAGUUCUACAAAAUGGGGGGACUUCCGUUCCCAGGAGAAGGCAAGUGCUGGGCAGAUAAGGAAUAUGUCCCCCAUAGGGAGCUCCCAGCUCUCUCUCUACUCCUUUCUCUUGUCCCCCAGCCUCCUAAACACGUCCCCACCAGGAAC
ensembl:lncRNA